rnacentral:rRNA from 1 species
AAGAGACAGCAGCCGCCACGGUAAUACGGAGGAUCCAAGCGUUAUCCGGAAUCAUUGGGUUUAAAGGGUCCGUAGGCGGUCUUGUAAGUCAGUGGUGAAAGCCCAUCGCUCAACGGUGGAACGGCCAUUGAUACUGCAGGACUUGAAUUAUUGGGAAGUAACUAGAAUAUGUAGUGUAGCGGUGAAAUGCUUAGAGAUUACAUGGAAUACCAAUUGCGAAGGCAGGUUACUACCAAUUGAUUGACGCUGAUGGACGAAAGCGUGGGUAGCGAACAGGAUUAGAUACCCCUGUAGUCCCUGUCUCUUAUAC